rnacentral:rRNA from 1 species
AGUGAACGCUGGCGGUAGGCCUAACACAUGCAAGUCGAACGGCAGCACAGUAAGAGCUUGCUCUUACGGGUGGCGAGUGGCGGACGGGUGAGGAAUACAUCGGAAUCUACUUUUUCGUGGGGGAUAACGCAGGGAAACUUACGCUAAUACCGCAUACGACCUACGGGUGAAAGCAGGGGAUCUUCGGACCUUGCGCGAUUGAAUGAGCCGAUGUCAGAUUAGCUAGUUGGCGGGGUAAAGGCCCACCAAGGCGACGAUCCGUAGCUGGUCUGAGAGGAUGAUCAGCCACACUGGAACUGAGACACGGUCCAGACUCCUACGGGAGGCAGCAGUGGGGAAUAUUGGACAAUGGGCGCAAGCCUGAUCCAGCCAUACCGCGUGGGUGAAGAAGGCCUUCGGGUUGUAAAGCCCUUUUGUUGGGAAAGAAAAGCAGCAGGUUAAUACCCCGCUGUUCUGACGGUACCCAAAGAAUAAGCACCGGCUAACUUCGUG